AAAGACAUUUCGUUUCGUUUUUUACUCCUGUUGGAUGUUUUGCUAAUACAUCAGAGUGGAUUCGUAAGAGUGCAUUUAAUGAACACUAUGAAUAAAGAAAACCGAACUAUAUUUUCUGUAAGUAUUUCUUAGAAGAUUAUACAUUUCUAAUUAAAAAACUAUCAACUUGUCAUUGUAAAUGUAGCAGGCUAACGACAAAACGAAGGCAACUGUCUACAAGAUGGCUGUUGCUUGCGCAAUGGAUGCAUUUGACAGAAAAGCAAAAAUUGCACACAACAUUUCCAAAAUACGGCUACUAAUAAAACAACACCGAAGUAGUUAUAUAAAUUUUAUAACUUAUUUAUCUGUGUAAUAAAUUUUUCUCUUUUUAGUUGACAUUUUGAAAUUAGAUUCAAAUCUCAUGAUACCACUAAACAAGUUGGUGGAACAUGAUAUUAGCAAAACGUACAAGGGGAACAUAAGUCAAUUUGAUCACUAUAUCUGUCAGUAUUGCGACGAUAUACGAUAUACGUAAAAAAAUGGCACGAGUUAUGUAAGCAUAACUCAGGAUUGCAUUCGUCAUGAUUUGGCGAAAUAAUGUUAAAGUACUACAGAAAAGCUGAUGCAUUAACAGAUGACACCAUUCGCGCUGCCAUCGAGUUAAUGUCACGAAAUUUAAUUGGGGAAGAAGAGUUCGCUAUCUUCGUAAAGCCACGGAGGAAGAGAUGGAGGAGGAACAUCGACUAGUUACAAAAGUGACUACCCCAGUGUCCCUUUCUGAAAAGUUGCCAGAUUGCGGGAACUUGACCUGAGACCCCACAUUGCCAGUUCUAAGAAAAAAAAACAGCAGAAAAUUGUUGUUUUGAUUUGGGUCCCUGGUGGUGAAAGUUGGAAUCAAGGGCUGGGUAUUGGUCGCUUCGGGACUUUCACCAAUACGUCGUUUCUUAGAACUGGCAAGGUGGGGUCUCAGGUCCAGUUUCCGCAAUCUGGCAACUUUUCAGAAAGGGACACUGAGGUAGUCACUUUUUCCUGUAGAGGCUUAUGAAGCGAUGUUCCUCCUUCUUCUCAUCCUCCGUGAAUUUGACAGAUUCAGAUCAACGCUUCU
rnacentral:misc_RNA from 1 species